rnacentral:lncRNA from 1 species
GCUUCCAUAAUACAUUUGGAUGCUGUCAGCUAAGUUCACUUCUGAACUAAGGGGUUCCUCCAAAUGUUGGCUGAAAUUCAUCCCAAGGCUGGUCUGCAAAGUCUGCAAUUCAUAAUGGAGCUACUGUACUGGCUAUUGGAAGGAGGAGAUUCUGAAGAUAAGGAGAUUCAGCCGUUGGUCUUUGAAAUUUCCUGUGAUGUGUUUCAAUCUAGAUGCAAAGAACAUGGAAAAAUCAAAGUGCUCGAGUGGUUUAAAUAUGUUUUGGGUAUUCCUGUUUAUAGACUAUAAUACUUUUCCAAUUAAAAUCCUCAGUUGUCACGCAGAAGAAGGUUAAGCUGUAUUUGAUUGCCAGUUUUACUGAAAAUGCUUAGUAUUUUACAGUAUCACCAAAUAUAUUUUGUUUAGCCAAGGUAUA